UGGGUUGUGGCUCAGUGGUAGAGCACUUGCCUCUCAUGCAUGAAACCCUGGGUUUGAUCCUCAGCACCACAU
rnacentral:tRNA from 1 species